UCCGAGACCAUUUGGUUCCUGCAAUUUAAGUCUAAAUUCUUAGGUCCACGUGUGAAAGAUAAAAUGAACGUCAAUUGCGAUUGGAAAAAAUCAGGAAUUGAAUGAGAUUUGCAAGACCUAGUUUCUUAAACGGAAAUUGAGCUCUAUUUUGUGGGAAAUUAGUUUUGCAGACUUUCUUUAAAAAAAAAAAAAAUCUAAAACUUUUGUUCAGCAGCUGCUCCACUUUUCCCUGCAGUUUCAGAGUGAGCUGGAACCUGCAGCAGUCUUUAAACGGCAAUGCACUUGGACUUCCUCAGAGGGAACAUCAACAGGCAUGACUCUGGUUUAUUACUUAUCAACAGACAUCACAAGAGAUCUUCAUCUCGUAUACCUAGAGACGCCAUUCCACAACCUCAUUCUGCAUCGCUCCUGCAUCUGUCAGCCAUUGAACCUGGCCAAGAGUCUUUCUACAUUAUUCUCAAGAGAGUAUGAGUAAUCCCAGGACCCGGUAAGAAAUGCAACCAAUGUGUUUCAUGCACAUUAAAUGGAAAACCAUGAGUCUGAAAGCUUGACUGCAACCAUGAAAGUUUCUGAAUUCACAUUUUGGAUAGGAAAGACUGAAAAAAAAAAAUGAUACAACAAGGGAAAGAGAAAAAUUCUAAAGAAAAAAUGUAACUCAUCUAAAUAUAUCAUGUAUACAGCACUCACUAUGUCAGUCUACCUUUUCUGAGGGUGGCAGUUUUCUGCCAUGUCUAUUAUAGUCCAAUAAUUCCAAUCUGCUAGUAAAACAAGGAUUGUUUUAAAAGCUGAAUCACUAAAAAAGGAAAAAAAGUGUGUUUAAAUCACAGGGAGAAAAAAGGUUUACAAAUGCAAGGCCAGAUGCUCAGCGGUAUAAAUCAGCAUAGCACCAUUGAAGUGAAUGGAGCUAUCCCCAGUUACACCAGCUGAGGAUCUGGCCUUCAUACUAAUUUUGCAAACCCAAUAGUUUGAGAAUUUUGCAAAAUUCUCAGAGUCCUUGAAUUUCACCUGGCCCUGCUGUUCACAGAGCACACAUCUUCAUAACAUUCAGAAAGUGAGGUUUUUCAGCUAAAGUCCAUACAAAAACUCAAGGGUGGGGCGCUGGGGGGGAAGAGUUAAAAAAAGGAGCAGAAGAGGACCAGAAAAUAAAAACAGAUUAGGAUGGAUUUUGUCUCAGUUACACUGUGCAUAAACCCAGAGUAACUCCUAUAGAAUCAGUGGAAUUAAACUUGUGAAUAGUUGGGUCUGAUUCUACUCUCAUAUCAACAAACAACUGAGAAUAAUUUGACUUGUAGUGGAAGUCUCUCACUUCUAGUCCUACAGUCCUCCACAAACAGAUAUUUCAUUACAAAAAUUCUAAAUACUAUGAGUACCACAUCAGCUGCUAAGGAUCACUAGAAAUUUAUCAUAUGGUAAUGCAGCACUCUGAGCUAAGCAAAGCACGUGAAUCUAACUACGGUACAAGCUAGGUAGUUUCACUAAACACUAAGGCACCUUUGCAUAAAUAUUGUUGAAAGACAGCAGAGAGAGAGAAGGAAACUCUGCAUCUUAAAUAUAGGGUCUUUAAUGCUGACAUAUAUCAAAAUGCUGUGUAUACUUCUGGAACCCUUCUGUAAAAAUGUCUCUAACUCUAGGGACUCAUUGUGUAAGGUAGUUAUGCACCAUUUAAAUGUGAAAAAUGCACACUUUACU